rnacentral:rRNA from 1 species
AGUGAACGCUGGCGGUAGGCCUAACACAUGCAAGUCGAACGGCAGCACAGUAAGAGCUUGCUCUUACGGGUGGCGAGUGGCGGACGGGUGGGGAAUACAUCGGAAUCUACUUUUUCGUGGGGGAUAACGUAGGGAAACUUACGCUAAUACCGCAUACGACCUACGGGUGAAAGCAGGGGAUCUUCGGACCUUGCGCGAUCGAAUGAGCCGAUGUCGGAUUAGCUAGUUGGCGGGGUAAAGGCCCACCAAGGCGACGAUCCGUAGCUGGUCUGAGAGGAUGAUCAGCCACACUGGAACUGAGACACGGUCCAGACUCCUACGGGAGGCAGCAGUGGGGAAUAUUGGACAAUGGGCGCAAGCCUGAUCCAGCCAUACCGCGUGGGUGAAGAAGGCCUUCGGGUUGUAAAGCCCUUUUGUUGGGAAAGAAAAGCAGCAGGUUAAUACCCCGCUGUUCUGACGGUACCCACAGAAUAAGCACCGGCUAACUUCGUG